rnacentral:rRNA from 1 species
CCUACGGGAGGCAGCAGUGGGGGAUAUUGCACAAUGGGGGAAACCCUGAUGCAGCGACGCCGCGUGGGCGAAGAAGUAUUUCGGUAUGUAAAGCCCUAUCAGCAGGGAAGAAGACAUGACGGUACCUGAGUAAGACGCACCGGCUAAAUACGUGCCAGCAGCCGCGGUAAUACGGAUGGUGCACGCGUUAUCCGGAUUUACUGGGGUUAAAGGGAGCGCAGGCGGCACGGCAAUCCUAAUGUGAAAGCCCGCGGCCCAACCGCGGGACUGCAGUGGGAACUAGCGGGCUGGAGUGCCGGAGAGGUAGGCGGAAUGCGUGGUGUAGCGGUGAAAUGCGUAGAUAUUAGGAGGAACACCAGUGGCGAAGGCAGCCUACUGGACGGUGACUGACGCUGAGGCUCGAAAGCGUGGGUAGCAAACAGGAUUAGAUACCCCAGUAGUC